rnacentral:rRNA from 1 species
GACGAACGCUGGCGGCGUGCUUAACACAUGCAAGUCGAACGGAAAGGCCCUGCUUUUGUGGGGUGCUCGAGUGGCGAACGGGUGAGUAACACGUGAGUAACCUGCCCUUGACUUUGGGAUAACUUCAGGAAACUGGGGCUAAUACCGGAUAGGAGCUCCUGCUGCAUGGUGGGGGUUGGAAAGUUUCGGCGGUUGGGGAUGGACUCGCGGCUUAUCAGCUUGUUGGUGGGGUAGUGGCUUACCAAGGCUUUGACGGGUAGCCGGCCUGAGAGGGUGACCGGCCACAUUGGGACUGAGAUACGGCCCAGACUCCUACGGGGGGCAGCGGUGGGGAAUAUUGAACAAUGGGCGGAAGCCUGAUGCAGCAACGCCGCGUGCGGGAUGACGGCCUUCGGGUUGUAAACCGCUUUCGCCUGUGACGAAGCGUGAGUGACGGUAAUGGGUAAAGAAGCACGGGCUAACUACGUG